UUGAAGAAUUUGAAGAUUUCAUGUUGCAUGCUUAAACAAUUUGAAGACUUCAUCUUGUAGACUUGAAGAAUUUGAAGAUUUCAACU
rnacentral:pre_miRNA from 1 species